rnacentral:lncRNA from 1 species
AUGGAGCGGGUAGCACUAGCAAGGAAGGCACAAAAAACAUAGGCAAAGACGCAUGUUUCUUCAUAUUACUCUCAAGUAUAUAAUAGAACAACCAUACCUUAUAUGUGAGUUCAGUUAGAAAGAAAAAAAAUUGAUGCAUUUGUACUACCCGCUGCAAAGCGCGUAAUGAGAAAGCACAUAUAUACCAAACGCCAGUUACUGUUUGCUUUGGGUUUUGCAGUUUUCAGUAUUGUGGACUGGAGUAUCUCCCUCUUUUCGCUUUGUUGAUUGCAUUUUGCCACAUCCACCAUUGACUUGAUUAGAUUCUAUGCAAAGGAGACUCUCAAUUGUUUUUCUGUCAUUGUUUUU